rnacentral:lncRNA from 1 species
UCCUUAAAAUCUGCUCGGAUAUAAUCAUUCAAAUGUAGAUGAAUAUUUACAUGCACUCUUUCUGAAAGCAGAAGGAGCUAAGAUUUAAUUAUUUCUGUCUUUGCAGGCUGUGAAGCUUGUAAUGAGGGCUGGGCCAUGACAGCAGAAAAUGGAUGUGUGGAUGUCAACGAAUGUGUUCUGCCAGAUGUUUGUAACACAAUCAAUUUUGUGUCAACGAAGAGGGCAAUUACUCUUGUAUUGAAUGUGACGCAGCGUGUUCUGGCUGCUAUGGCGAUGGGCCCGAUAUGUGCAUCAAAUGCGCCCCUGGCUAUUUUCUGCAAGAUAAUUUCUGCGUUGUAGAAGAUUUCUUUGAUGGAUCGUCUAACCAUUUGUGUCAUCUGAGCGAUUACUGGUCAUUUCUGCGGCAUGAUUCCUAUUGUCCCAACCUCUGAACUAGAUCAGUAUUUUGCUUGGACCGUAGAUCUUUUAAUUCUGUGUGAGGUAUUUGGUCCUUUUAUUUUCUCAUAUUUAAUUUUUUCAUUUUCCAUUUUAAUUUCUCUACAUAUUUGGGUAUUUUAUUUUAUUGCUUGUUUUUAAUCAU